rnacentral:rRNA from 1 species
CAGGCCUAACACAUGCAAGUCGAACGGUAACAGGAAGUGCUUGCACUUCGCUGACGAGUGGCGGACGGGUGAGUAAUGCUUGGGAACUUGCCUUUGCGAGGGGGAUAACAGUUGGAAACGACUGCUAAUACCGCAUAAUGUCUUCGGACCAAACGGGGCUUAGGCUCCGGCGCAAAGAGAGGCCCAAGUGAGAUUAGCUAGUUGGUAAGGUAAAGGCUUACCAAGGCAACGAUCUCUAGCUGUUCUGAGAGGAAGAUCAGCCACACUGGGACUGAGACACGGCCCAGACUCCUACGGGAGGCAGCAGUGGGGAAUCUUAGACAAUGGGCGCAAGCCUGAUCUAGCGAUGCCGCGUGAGUGAUGAAGGCCUUAGGGUCGUAAAGCUCUUUCGCCUGUGAAGAUAAUGACGGUAGCAGGUAAAGAAACCCCGGCUAACUCCGUGCCAGCAGCCGCGGUAAUACGGAGGGUG